rnacentral:sRNA from 1 species
UAACAAUCAGUCUGUACUACACGUAUGA